AUGGCGGACGGGUGAGUAACGACGUAAGAACUUGCCCUUUAGACUGGGAUAACAGAGGGAAACUUCUGAUAAUACUGGAUAAGUUAGUAUAUCGCAUGAUAUGCAAAUGAAAGCUACGGCACUAAAGGAGAGCUUUGCGUCCUAUUAGCUAGUUGGUAAGGUAAGAGCUUACCAAGGCGAUGAUAGGUAGCCGGCCUGAGAGGGUGGACGGCCACAAGGGGACUGAGAUACGGCCCUUACUCCUACGGGAGGCAGCAGAA
rnacentral:rRNA from 1 species